GAAUAUUGGUCAAUGGACGCAAGUCUGAACCAGCCAUGCCGCGUGGAGGAUGAAGGUCCUCUGGAUUGUAAACUUCUUUUAUCGGAGAAGAAACCCCAGCAUUCCUGUUGGGUUGACGGUACCCGAUGAAUAAGCACCGGCGAACUCCGUGCCAGCAGCCGCGGUAAUACGGAGGGUGCAAGCGUUAUCCGGAUUCACUGGGUUUAAAGGGUGCGUAGGUGGGAUAGUAAGUCCGUGGUGAAAUCUCCAAGCUUAACAUGGAAACUGCCGUGGAUACUAUUAGUCUUGAAUAUUGUGAAGGUAAGCGGAAUAUGUCAUGUAGCGGUGAAAUGCUUAGAUAUGACAUAGAACACCGAUAGCGAAGGCAGCUUGCUACACGAUCAUUGACACUGAGGCACGAAAGCGUGGGGAUCAAACAGG
rnacentral:rRNA from 1 species